rnacentral:tRNA from 1 species
GGGUAGCUCAGCUGGGAGACCACUACCCUGACAGGGUAGUGGUCGCUGGUUCGAGCCCAGUCGGAAUCA